rnacentral:rRNA from 1 species
UACAGAGGGUGCAAGCGUUACUCGGAAUUACUGGGCGUAAAGCGUGUGUAGGUGGUUUGCUAAGUCAGGUGUGAAAUCCCUGGGCUCAACCUAGGAAUUGCAUUUGAUACUGGCAGACUAGAGUGCGGUAGAGGAUGGUGGAAUUCCCGGUGUAGCGGUGAAAUGCGUAGAUAUCGGGAGGAACAUCAGUGGCGAAGGCGGCCAUCUGGACUGACACUGACACUGAGACACGAAAGCGUGGGGAGCAAACAGG